AAACCACCACAGGUGGUACUGUAGCAAAUACCUUGUGAGGCAGAUUGAGGAAGCCCAUUAGUGCUUGUUUGUUCAAGCUCUGGCACACCACCCAAUUGCUCAUCACUGAUGAGCCUGGGUUUGUCUCUUUGCCCCUUCCAAGCUAGUUUAAAACUCUAUCAACAAGUCCUGCUAUCUCCUGUAAUAGAACUCUUUCUCCUAUGGAUUCAUGGAAAGUAUCGUACAGCAAUAAUAACUGAAUCUGCAAGUCAUCCUGAAAAUAUGUGAAUUCCUGCAGCAAUUAUUACAAGAAGAAAUUAUUGAAAAGGUUUUGAUGGUUGGUUGUGUCCCUAAAAGUACUGCUCAUCUUCACGUGCAAAUCUAUCCAGAAGCAGAUCUGAGCGAGCUGAGAAGAGACAUCUGCAGCUCCACAAUUUUGAGAAUCAUUGUACAUAAAUUCCAGGAUACAAGAGGACCCACCUCAUCUUUUACCAGUUGUCAUUUGAGAACCUUCUUGUGCAAAAAUAUUUUUGACUGAAAAAUAUCCAGGGACUCUCUACCACCUUUCCAUAGCCAGCAUAUACUGAGCAGCAUGCCUGCCCUGCUGUAGGCUUCUUCUACGUCUCAGAUUUAUUGAAAGUUGAUUAAUAUGCUAAUAAUUUAAGUGAAAUGUUCACCUAUUAAAAAAAGGUAAAAAAGAAGACUAAAGAAUUCUUAUUAUAACUGAUCAUGCUGUCCGUGAGUCUCUGAAAAAAAGAUGUGUUCAGGAGGCAGAACAAAUGAAAGAGAAGAUAAAAUACAACCUUGUCUAAUGCUAAUAUUAAGAAAAAAUACUUUGAGCAAGAGCAAAAAUUAAUUUCUGGAGAAUUGAGAACAAUAUGAUGAAAGAAAUAGAUUCUGAAAUUAUUUUUUACAUUACUGGGAAAAGACUGCCCCAAAGAAUCCAGCAAAGUGCCUUCAGCAAGAAGAAGACCACACAAUAGUUUAAUUAACGUGAUAUUUGUUGUCUUUGUCUGAACUAAAGUCAGAAUUCCUAGUUCAUAUGAAGUUAUAGUAUUUGUCAGCAUUUUAAAGUCUUAAUUCACUUAAUCUACAGUCUUCUGGACUUUCAACUCAAGUCAUGGUUGGGUCUCAGAACCAAAGGCAGGUAAUUUUUUUCAAUAAAAAGAGUGGUAGAGCAUGAAAAAAAAUUGAGACAAAUUAAGACACGAAGCAAUAUGAUUUUGAAAACCUAAUUUAUUUAUUUAUUUAUUUAUUUAGUCUGUGACUUGUUUGCUCUGCUUUAACAUGGCUAUGGAGGCAAUGCUUGGGACAUUCCUUAAUUAAAUGAUGCAUUGUAAAAGGUACAGAAUUCUCUCUCAGAAACCGCAUUUGUUAUUGGACCACCACUCUCAAUCAUUGGAUUGAGAAUUUGCAGGUCUCCUUCUGUUCUGCUUACAUUUGGAUGUGUCAGUGUGCAAAAGAUAUUUUGGUAAUUGACUUUUAGUUCCUGGGAACAUUAAACAGCUUAGAACAUCAAACAGCUUUGACAUUUGACUGUCAAAAUUUUCUGCAUUUUGACAUUUGACUGUCAACAGUCUUUUUAUUCUUAUCUGAAAACUCAAUUUCCUGAUAAAUCUCUAUAAUACAAGUUUGGGCUUUUUGUUUUGGAUUUUCUUUUUUCUUUUACGGAAAAAGGGUAAAGAGAUUUUUAGUUUCAAUUCUUUCCUAAUAUAUUUCACUUAACUGAAAGCUACAUGUAGGACAUGUAGGAUUCAAGGUUUUCCAGGGUUCUUUACUUCAAAAUAGCAGUCUUUUUAUUCACUGAUAGUCAUUUCUAUUCAAAUAAUACACAGGGAAUAUGUACAGCGUGUAUAGAGACAUGCAGAUAAACAUGCUGAGACAGGUAUCCUGCCUCCCUUAACGGCUACAUAUUUCAGACUUGGCAAGGAUCAAAUCUCUUCUAGGUCAUAAAGAAGGACUGUGGAGUAGAAAAGAGUCUUCAUUUUUACACAGUUAAUACCCUGUCCUGAUUAGCUUCACAUUCCUUUACCCUCACAUCUUUUCACAGCUUCUAGUGCAACUAUGUCACAACUUUCAACCAGUGUUCACUGCACAAGUGGAUAGUGGGAAAUCCUGAUUUUAUAUCCAGUUUAUACAGUAUAUACAGUUCAUACAGUAUUUUUUAAACAACAUUCUUUCUUAGGUGUUGGAUCUAUGUAGAGUAUGUAACCGAUGGUGUUGUGUUGUACCUGUUAUCAAAUAAAAUACUUGUCUCGUUUACCCUAAAAAACAUGUUCAGGUGAGAUUUAAGACAAUCUAUAAAAAAAAAAUUGAGCUUCAAUAUCAUUGAAUCAUGUACCUAGUUCCCUUAACACUGUGACACAGUCUUUCAGGUAGCUGAGACAACUGAGAUGUGGAUUUCAAAUACAUAUAUCAUACUCUAAAACAGAAGAUCGAAUUUGCUGGAAGUCUACUUUUAUGCUAAAAUUAAAACUGUGAGGUUUUGAAUACAGUAAGUUUCAUACAAGCAAUAA